UUUUUUUUUUUUUUUUUCCCCCAAGUUUGUCUGUGUUGUUUUUUUUUUCCUAAUUGGCCAAUGCGGUGUUUAUCCUGAUAAUGGUUUCAAUUAUAAAGGGGCAUUUUCAGGCCGUAUUCCUGGAAAUGAGAUGCCGGAUGGGUCGAUAAGGUUUGCACAUGUGCUUCAUGCGUGCAUCAUCGGGAGAUCAAUAUGAUUGCGCUGGAGCUGUUGCCUGUGUCAAGGAUGGCCAGCUCAGGACCUUCAAUUUGAUAAAGAGCAUGUCUGCAUAAAGUUUUCUGCAGGUGUGAAUAGAACUGCAAGCAAAAGCUGAUUAUUUGAAAGAGAUCUGGAUUUGGGUUGAGGAAAUUUGGAAGCCUGUCUUGACACGUCUCUGCCUAAAAUUCAGGAGAGAUGAAGAAGCCUCUAGGACCCUCCCGUUGUCCUGGAUGCACGCAUCAUCUGAUCUGGUUUCUCAUACAACUGAUAAAACUCAUCCAACUCCCACGGAAAGAGCUCAAAUAAAGUCAGCAAAGUCAGACCAAGAAGGCAGUGUCGUGGGAGCUUUGAAGGCUCAGAAGCUGUGGAAAGGACAACAUUUCAGGGUUUUUCACUUCACAAAUUGCCUCUGCAAGAAGAACCAGUGGUGGAAAGUAAAGGCUGUAACCCUGUAUUCAGAAAAUGAAAAUUAUCACAACGCUGAGGCAGAUCACACCAGACUGCCUGUUAUGCCGCUGCUUAGGCUUGUCCUUUAGCCACAACCCUCUAGUGGAACAGGCUGGGAUUUCAGUCGCGUGUGGGAAAUGUCUCCAGUGUCUUUCAAACGGCAUGCCACAAGGGAUGCUUGCCUUGAGACCACUCUGAUCAUACCCGAGCUCUGAUGCUCUGAAAGGCAUAUAGAAAGACAGAUGUGCAGCGAGCAGCUGUACAGAAGGACAUUUAUUCUGUGUUCCUUGAGGAGUACUCCCACCAAGUCCAUGGGAUCCCCUGAGUCUGGGGUCUAUGAGGUGUGCUGCUCUCUUGGAUGUCCUGCCUUUGCCCAUUGCCUUCAUGUCACAUUGAGGACUAUGUGUGGCUGCUCCCUCCUGAUUCCCUCCUGAAGCCUCAACUGUUUUGCUCUUGGCUUCCGAGCUUUGGUGGCCAUUCCCCUUUUUAUGGAAAAAAAAAAAAAAAAAAAAACCUUCUAUUAAUACGGAUUCCUUGUAAAAGAAGACAAAAAAAGAGAGAGAUCCCAAGGUGAAAGGAGAAUUGUUUUUAUUAUUGAUUCUAUUAUUAUUAUUAAAUAUUUUAUUUAUUUCAUUUCAUUUUAUGUUAGGGAGGUGGGUGGAGGGUCAUCUUCAGGAUCAGGAAAUUGGCUCCUUUUAAAUUGAGAUUGUCAAUAUCUACUUCUCUGACUCCCUUUGCCUGUGUAUUUCACCAGAUGACUUUUUCAAAUUCUUGAUGAUAUCUUACUUUGUUUCUGGAGUGGUUUCUUCUCCCCAGAUAUCUGCUCUAAGAAAAGAACGAAAAAAUAAUGGUUACCACCAAUGGGAUGUGUUAGCUGCUGCCAGAUUUAAAGGGUUUAUUGAUCCCAUCAAAGGCAGUUGGGAACCAAAGAAAUGCUUUAUUUUUUUCUGAGAUCUAUUAAGCAUUUUGCAAGAAUACCUUCAGUAAUUCACUGCUAAGGAGUAAGUCAUUGGAUAUGAAUGGGCUGACAAGUGUAGUGAUAAGGUUACUUUGCAAAGGAGAAAAACAGAUUAGGGGUUAAAAUAGUACUUAGAAAUUGGAAAAUCACGACUGGUCUUUCAUGUGUCAUUCUAAGAAAUUAAUUUCAUUUGUUUUGUCCUAUGUCACUGUUAACUUAUGGUAAUGGUAAUAUAUCUUCAUGUUGCACUCUGAGUGUAAUUAUGAAUUAAAUAUAUGUUCCUGGGGUAUUCUGAAACUCUGCUGUCGAAAGCAGAAUGCAUCCAAGGUAGCUGCUGUAUCUGGAGCUUGUGUUAACCCUGGUGCCUGAUAACCCAGGUGAGGGACACCAACCCACGUCCUGCGUGGGAGCUGGAAGGUGCUGUCCCUGAACAGUGUUUCAUCUCUUCCAGCACAUCCCAGCAGGCCUGCCAGCACACACUGGAACAAGGCACAAAAGGCUUCUGCCUCCUGACUCUUUCCCUUCAUUACUUACCAAGGAUGGAGCAGAGGGGAAGGUGAGAAGAAGAGGUAUCUGUGCAGCGCACCAGCCAAAUAAGUGGAGGCACGGAGUAACUUCUCUUGCUGGCCCUGAAAUCAAGAUAGUCUGUGGCUGUGCAAACAGUUGUGCCUCUGUAAUUGAUAAUCCAAAACAGGUCACUGCAGUAGCCAGUUGCUGUCUGUCCCCAGCCUGCUGUUUAAUGCUGCACUCAUUUACUCUUCAGGUAGGAUACAUCUUCCAGGGUUGUGCAGAGCUCUGUCCCCCUGCCUAACUUAAGUGAGUGUACUUGGAUUUCCAGGAAACCUUGCAAAGUAUCUAUGCUGUUUGUUCUUCAAGCUGAAGGGGAAUGACAGAUUCCCAGGACCUGGUCUGUCAUCCAUACUGAGGCUUAACAGUGAAAUUUGUGACAUAAUCUGCCAAUUUUAUGGGUAGGUCCGCAAUUUAAAAAAUUGCAAGAGACUUGGUCAAUGAACAGACUUUACAGGUGCAAUACACAGCAAUGCAUGACAGGUAAACUUAACAUUUCACCAGGACCUAGCCACCUAUAUAUUUCAUAAAGCAGAACUUGUAAAGGGCCUUGUGGAAGCACCAUCUGCUGAUUUCCAAUAAAACUGCAAAUGCUGUGGAAACUUUCUGCUGU
rnacentral:lncRNA from 1 species